rnacentral:misc_RNA from 1 species
GAUGAAGAACGCAGCGAAAUGCGAUAAGUAAUGCGAAUUGCAGAAUUCAGUGAAUCAUCGAAUCUUUGAACGCACAUUGCGCCCGCCAGUAUUCUGGCGGGCAUGCCUGUCUGAGCGUCGUUUCGACCCUCGCGCCCGGCUUCUGUCGGGGGCGGUGUUGGGGAUCGGCCACACCCUUCAGUGGGAGGCCGGCCCCUAAAUUCAGUGGCGACCCCGCUGUAGCCUCCCCUGCGUAGUACUAAAACCACCUCGCAGGCGGAGAGCGGUGCGGCCCGCCGUAAAACCCCCCAACUUUUACAAGGUCGACCUCAGAUCAGGUAGGAAUACCCGCUGAACUUAAGCAUAUCAAUAAGCGGAGGA